GAGUUUGAUCAUGGCUCAGAUUGAACGCUGGCGGCAGGCUUAACACAUGCAAGUCGAGCGGGGUGAUGUAGCUUGCUACAUUACCUAGCGGCGGACGGGUGAGUAAUGCUUAGGAAUCUGCCUAUUAGUGGGGGACAACAUUCCGAAAGGAAUGCUAAUACCGCAUACGCCCUACGGGGGAAAGCAGGGGAUCUUCGGACCUUGCGCUAAUAGAUGAGCCUAAGUCAGAUUAGCUAGUUGGUGGGGUAAAGGCCUACCAAGGCGACGAUCUGUAGCGGGUCUGAGAGGAUGAUCCGCCACACUGGGACUGAGACACGGCCCAGACUCCUACGGGAGGCAGCAGUGGGGAAUAUUGGACAAUGGGCGAAAGCCUGAUCCAGCCAUGCCGCGUGUGUGAAGAAGGCCUUUUGGUUGUAAAGCACUUUAAGCGAGGAGGAGGCUACUUAGAUUAAUACUCUAGGAUAGUGGACGUUACUCGCAGAAUAAGCACCGGCUAACUCUGUGCCAGCAGCCGCGGUAAUACAGAGG
rnacentral:rRNA from 1 species